AGCAGCCGCGGUGAUUCCAGCUCCAAUAGCGUAUAUUAAAGUUGCUGCAGUUAAAAAGCUCGUAGUUGAAUUUCGGGAUCAAUAUGUUGGUCGUGCCUCGGUACGUACUAGCUUAUUGGUUUCUUCCUUCUGACGAACCAUAAUGUCAUUUAUUUGGUGUUAUGGGGAAUCAGGACUGUUACUUUGAAAAAAUUAGAGUGUUUAAAGCAGGCUCACGCUUGAAUACAUUAGCAUGGAAUAAUGAAAUAGGACGUUUGAUUCUAUUUUGUUGGUUUCUAGGAUCGACGUAAUGAUUAAUAGGGAUAGUUGGGGGCAUUAGUAUUCAAUUGUCAGAGGUGAAAUUCUUGGAUUUAUUGAAGACUAACUACUGCGAAAGCAUUUGCCAAGGAUGUUUUCAUUAAUCAAGAACGAAAGUUAGGGGAUCGAAGACGAUCAGAUACCGUCGUAGUCUUAACCAUAAACUAUGCCGACUAGGGAUCGGAUGAUGUUAAUUUUUUCAAUGACUCAUUCGGCGCCUUAC
rnacentral:rRNA from 1 species